rnacentral:rRNA from 1 species
AUUGAACGCUGGCGGCAGGCCUAACACAUGCAAGUCGAACGGUAACAGAAAGCAGCUUGCUGCUUUGCUGACGAGUGGCGGACGGGUGAGUAAUGUCUGGGAAACUGCCCGAUGGAGGGGGAUAACUACUGGAAACGGUAGCUAAUACCGCAUAACGUCGCAAGACCAAAGAGGGGGACCUUCGGGCCUCUUGCCAUCGGAUGUGCCCAGAUGGGAUUAGCUAGUAGAUGGGGUAACGGCUCACCUAGGCGACGAUCCCUAGCUGGUCUGAGAGGAUGACCAGCCACACUGGAACUGAGACACGGUCCAGACUCCUACGGGAGGCAGCAGUGGGGAAUAUUGCACAAUGGGCGCAAGCCUGAUGCAGCCAUGCCGCGUGUAUGAAGAAGGCCUUCGGGUUGUAAAGUACUUUCAGCGGGGAGGAAGGGAGUAAAGUUAAUACCUUUGCUC